AGAGGCAGGGGGACCUCACGGUGGGUGGGGGAGCAUAAGGAGGUCUGACACUGGGGGCAACACCGCCCGGUGCCCAAGGUCGCGGGACAAGUGCACAGGAAGAGGGUGCGGUUCCCUAGAUGAGGGGGGCAGAGUGGGUGAGCUGAAAGAAACCGCUGGCGAUGGACCUUUCUGAGUCGUGGAUGAUACCACACACGCGUUAUCAGCGCAGCAACCAACACAAGAGUGUAUCUGCUCUCCUCAACUGGUCAACGUAACAUACGGGGUUUACACUUCGUCGUUUGUUCACACUCGCUGCGGGUCAGCAUGAAGGACAUACAAUCUUAUCAUGGAGACAAAGAAAAAGUCAAUGUGCCACUCCGGAGUCCAACAUAAAACCAAGAAGUUGAGAGAGUGUUCAACGGGUAACCUGCACGGUUGAUAUUUUGAUACUAUGUUUUUCUUGUGGCAAAGAUUGAGAUAUGAUUUUUUUUAUUCAGAGAAGCAAGAAGGCAGGCGAGUCAGCCAAAUUGCCCAAGAGACAGAUGCCCCUCUUUUGCAACAGAGGAAGAAAAUCAGUCUUGCCUAUGCUGAGAACAUCACAAAAAUAAUGAAGCCCUGAUUCCAUGUAAGCCAUUAAAGUAUUUCGACCUGCACUUUCUGUCACCAAUCCUGGUUUGUCAUCCGGGUGGUUAGGGCCCUUUUGGCUGCGUGCUAAGCAGUGUCUGCUGGUUCCCUGUCUGACAACUUCCUGUGCAGUUAACUGACUUCAUCAUCUUCACUUACACGUUCUUCUCCUCUAACGCCAACUUCUAGACCUGACUUGAUUCCUCUACCAAUUACGAAGUAAAGAAUCUCUAAAUCAGCCUGUGACUUAUAUGUCCCUGCCUUGAAAGAAUUUCUCCUUUUUGGGCGAAAGCAAUGUACAUGUUUCAUACAAAUAUUCAUGCCUUUGGCUGGAAUUGCUGCCUGCUGAAAAUGUAUAAAAGCAAACAAUAAUCCAACUACCUCCAGUCCACUUACUCAACGCUUCUUGCGUUUGUGUUUUCCCUGGGCCACCGUCAGUCCCACGGAAGGAAAAUAAACCUCUUGAAACUAUUUCACACAGUUUCAUUUUUCCACUGACAUUGAAGGACUGCUGGACAGAGGCAAAGUGAAGUCCAGCAACUGUGUUUGAAAAUGAGGUUAUUCGCUGGAGUCCUAUAGAUGCCCUACACGACUCACAGAGUCCCCAGCACCUUCUGCCACUCUCGGUGCAAAUGACAGUUCGGGACAUUUGUUUUCCUUUUGUGAUGGUUUCAGUGUCAAUAGGGAGUGUGGCUCUUUCUUGUCAUCCCCUUCAUUGCUCGCUCUCCAAAGUGCAAAGCCCUGGCUCUGCUGCCUGGUGCAGGCUGUCACGGUCUCACACCCACCAGGCACUCGAGUCACCAGGCAGCCCUCUUGACAGGUCCAAGCCUCACCCUGGAGCCCCUCAUUUCACUUGAAAAGUUUCUUCCAGCAAAAGGACAAAAGGGGAAGUGCUUGUUAAUCUUGAAGGUAAAACGGUGGAAGAAAAUGUUUUUCCUUCCUCUCUCUCCUUAGUUUUUCUAACACAGAGAGUUACUGUGAAAUAUUUGGUCUCUUUGAGUCUAAGGGCAGAAAGUCUGUUUUGUUUGGCUAAUUUGAAAGCCACUUAACAGUGUUCAACACUCUACGCCAAAAGCCUCACGCCGAGGACCACAUCACUGCAGUGAAAGUAACAGUGAACACCAAGGACCCUUUCCACACACGGACGUUGGGGAAUCUGAUCUCAGCCGUGGGAUCCCAGCCCAAAGGGUUUCCUCAAGGGAUGACUCCCCGGAGAACUUGCUAUCUGGAAGCUUCUGCCAGCUGUCUGGCUCGGGAGAGUGUGGCACAGGACUGUGUCCUUCCCAAGGCAGUCAAAGGCAAACACUCAGAGUCUUUUCAGAGCCCUUCCCUAUGCUCCCCUUUGACUCCCUCACAUGCCUGCUCAGUGUGUUGGUGCUAAGGAGGGCUACUGGGGCUUUCCUUUUGUCAUGUGGAUGUGGCUGUUUCUUGUUACUGUGAUAGUCCUCAAUGUGGGCAGUCCUUGCCCAGGUUGGUCCCGUCAGGAUGACAAUGGCAAGGCUCCAGGAGCGGAUCCCCGACUGGGAACUGCUUCUCCAGGGUCACCGGUCCCCCAGCUCAUGAAAGGAGUUUGUGUAGGUGCCCACAUGGGAUCCUGGAGCGGGGACGAGGGGUUUGGGGAGAGUAGAAUCCAGCCGGGGGUCAGAGUGGGGAAAGCAAGACGAGAAGAAGGAAGGGAGUAUAAAUACCACAGAGGUGGAUGGCGGCUGAGCCAGCGGUUGUGAGGCCAUUCAAGAUGGGACCUCCAUUUUAUCUUGCUGGUUUCUGAGCAGACAUGCUUCCAUGACAGCAGCCUGGAAACAGAGUGGCAAAGGAGGGUGAGUGACAAGGAGGGUGGAGGCAGGGCUGUUUGCAGAGUGAGUGCCAGGCUCUUCCAGUGACCAGCUCCAACCAGGGUGAGACGUGGGCAGCUGCCCAUUCACCUGGCCUGUCCUUGGCAGUGGCAGCAGUGCAGGGCUAGGCUGCAGACAGAGAGAGUCACAUGUCACCCACAGCUCCCAGGGGCUCUUAGAACCUAGAGGACAAGGUCGCAAUGCUGGGGGUGUCACCAGGGCCGGGAGCCAAUUAGUGAGAUGUGGGCCCAGAGAGUGUCUGAUUGGUUGUCAGCAGGCAGGAAGGAGAGGCGGGGACAUGAGAAGGCUGGGGUGUGGGGGCUGGGGUGAGGAAGGAAUGCCGGGUGGAUGUUGGAGUAUGGAGAAUCCAGUUCAGAGAUACCAUGAAGCAGGGAGAGGAAUGGGAGCCCAGGUCCUAGAUAAUUCAAGUGGACUCCAGGUAGGGGUACCUCUGAGGGCACAGAGCUUUCCACACAGAGUUUUCCUGCUUCACACAUCAAAGGGCUGUGAUAGCAUUAUGAGCCAGGAAGCUUCUGGCCCAGCAGCCUGUGGAGUUUCUCCUUUUCCUCCAAAGACUGGUUAGAAGUGAAAUCAGCCAGGUCUCACAAACUGUGCAUUCCGUGAACAUGGAUGUGUUUGUCCUGCUGGAAAGUCUUUUCUCCAUCAGAAUCACGUGGCACGCUGCUCCCGCUGCGACCUGCAAAGGGGUUGAGGGUGUUCUGGGGGCCACCAGGUAGCGUGCCACGUGAUCCCAUGGGCUUAUCUGGAGGGCUGCCCUGGGUUUAGGUUCCCACGUGACCCAGGUGUUGCUUUAUCCCAUCGGAGGCUGGAAUUCGCAUGUUGGACUUUGCUUGGUGAGGCUACAGAACCACAGCUUUGUAGGCUGCACGUCUCCAGAUGAUCCUCCAAAGGCCUGUAAGUCCCACACACCAGGAGGGAACUGUGAAUGCACUGGCACACUCUGCUGCCUCCCCUCUUGGUGAUCACUGGGUUUUCUCUGGGCCUCCCCUUUGGGUUUCAUCCCCACCACCCAACACCACUUCCUCCCGGCUUCUUUACCCCACCUGCGUCCUCCAGGGGCCAGAAUGCCCUGCUCCUGUUUGGGAUAGCUUCCUCCACCUCAAGUAAGGAAAGCUGUCUUCCAAACUCCAGGGUGAGCAUCGCUUCCAGGUCCAGCUUCCCUUCUCAGGCAGGGGGUUCUGUCAUCCCCGGGGGCUCCUGAGUUCAGAAUUUCAGCCUUUGGCAGGCCUCUCUCCCUUUGAGUCAACCCCUCGUGGACUGCAGCCCCUCAGCACCUAGGCCCCCAUGGACACCUCUUCCAUCCCAUGCUUGAGCUCUUCCCACUCUGAGACCUUUCCCCUCCUCUAGGUCCCAGUCUCAGAAGCUGAAGCCAAGAGGAAAUACAUGGAAGCCACCACAGAUCCAGACCAUAGGGCUACGAUGCAUUUUGUAAUCAUUCUGUUUAUUUGCUCACACACUAGUCAGCCUUCUCAGAACGCCAGUCACAAUGGGCCAAACAGGAGGAAAUGCAAGAGCAUGGGACACAUUUUCCAGCCACUGGAUGAUAUUAUGCCAGAAAAAUCACCGUCACCCAUCAUCCACCACCAUUGUCAUUUGACCACACUUGAUCUCCCAUGAGUCCUUAAACCACAAUCACAUCUUUGGUUUCUGAAACAUCUUCUUUGGAAAGGUAUAUGACAUGCAUACAGUUUUUGUUGCUUAUUGAUUUAUGAGGUACAGGUGUAGUUUGUCACAUGGCUAUGUUGGGUAUCGGUGGCAUCAAGGCUUUUGGUGAAUCCAUCAUCUGAAUGACAUGCAUUGUACCCAUUACGUCAUUUCUCUUCUUUCACCCCCCAGGCUCCCCACCCUUCCAAGUCUCCAAUGUCCGUCAUUCCACACUCUGUGUCCAUACCUCAAGCCAUCCUCCCACCUUGGCUUCCCAAAGUGCUAGGAUGACAGGCGUGAGCCACCACGCCCGGCCUGAUUUUUUUAUACGGUCACAAACAGGAGUCGGGUUUGAUUCUUCUGCACGUGGGAAUCAAAUGUACCCAGCGUCCUUUGCUGAAAAGGCUAUGUUUUUGCCCAGAGUACGUUUUUGCUGACUUUGUCCAAGAUCAGUUGGCUGUAGAUGUGAGGCUGUAUUUCUGGGUUCUCUAUUCUAUCCCAGAAUAGAAACGUCUGUGUCUAUUUUUCCACCAGUACGAUAAUGUCGUCAUCAUCAUUAGAGCCCCGUAGAAUAGGCAUGUCAUUUCUCAAAGAUCGAAAAAUCAGGUCAUGUACAACUGGCAAGCCUUUCUUCAGGCACCACAGAACUAUCUUCUUCAACAAAAGAAAUGUAAACAUCUCCUUGAAGGAAGAGUUCGGCCCGUUUCCAGGACAUGUCAUGAAUUCCUCUCCUAGAUACAUGCUUCUCAAGUACAGGACACAUGAAGCCACAGCAUCCAUCAUCAGUUCCAUGGCUUUCUCUUUCAAGAGCAAAAUCAAGGAAUCCUUGCACAACAUGCUGAGCGCGCCGUCUAGCUGCAGUAGCCUGGAGGGUCUUCACACAGGCAGAGGCAUCCUUUUAUACAAGUUUCAGGAGUGCCGUCCCCUGACCCCACCCACACACCCUGAGGCUCUCUGGAGCUCAGCCAAUCAGCUUUUGCCAAGUCAUCACCAGCUCAGCCAAUCACCUUGUGCCAAUUCAUCACCAGCUCAGCCAAUCAGCUUCUCUCAAGUCAUCAACAUCUCAACCAAUCAGCUUCUGCAAUCAUCCACUGCUCCACCAAUUAGCUUCCACCAAGGCAUCAAACCCUACCGGCUCAGACAGCAGGCUCCUCCCAUGUCUCCAAGCCCCUCGCAGCUUCAGUGCUUCGCUCUCACUGAACGCUGGACUGAAAGUCUCAAAUCGUUCAGAAUUCGGCUCCUGUGAGGUGGAAGCACCUGGAAUUGCACUGGUGAAGUUGACACCCACAUCGUUGGUGUUUUGAGUGCUUCGUCUUUCCCACAAAAAACAGCGAGAUAUGUUGUUAUUUGACAAAAGCAACAAAGUCCAGAAUUCAGCUGAACAUCUGAGGAAACCACCAAAGUAAUGGAAACGUAGAAAAACAGUAUUUACCAUUUCUAUCUCCUGUGUUGAAUUGUUGCAUGUUUCUUGUUUGGGGCAGCAAGAAGGAGAUACUGUCUUUUUCAAGUGCAAACAUACACACACACAAACAUAAUGUCAGUCUGCCUCUCCUGAGAUGAAAGCUCAAAACAACAGAGCCAAGACAAGGUUAAACGGGCAAAGUGAAUUGUUGAUGUGUUGAGUAAUUUGUUUUUCCUCACCAAAGAUGCAAUUGCAGUUUUAUUUUCAUAUAUAUAUAUAUAUACACAACAACAAAGCUGUGAACUCACCAUGCUCAGAUGAAACCGUGAAAAAGACUAAAGCAGAAAAACAUGAUUUAACUGCUUAAAUCUUUUAGAUUUCCUGUGGUGACUUGUGUGUUUCUUGUUCAGGGCAGCAAGAAGGAUAUACAUUAUUUUCACAGAGAAGAAGAAAAACAGUCAGUCUGCCUCUCUUGAUUCAAACGUUCAAGAGAAGAAAGCUGAGGGAAGGUUGCACGAAAAAGCUGCCUUGUGUACGGGUUGAGGAAGUCGUUUUUCUUCACCAAAAUCGACUUGCCGGGUUAUGUGUGUAUAUAUAGAACAGCCACAGAGAGGCAAAGUUAGCAAUGCUCGAAGAAACCACGAAAAAAUGGUAAAGCAGAAAAACACGACUGAACUUCUUAUAUCUUUUAGAUUUCUUGUAUUGACG